rnacentral:lncRNA from 10 species
CUUGAGGUCAGGAGUUUGAGACCACCCUGGCCAAUAUGGUGAAACCCCGCCUCUACUAAAAGUACGAAAAUUAGCUGGGCAUGGUGGCAGGCACCUGUAAUCCUAGCUACUCAGGAGGCUGAGGCAUGAGAAUCGCUUGCACCUGGGAGGCAGAGGUUGCAGUGAGCCGAGAUCGCUCCACUGUACUCCAGCGUGGGCGACAGACCAUCUAUGGACUAUUCUUACCAAAAGAGUUGGUUCUAAAUCUAAUCAAGUGCAAAAUCUACCUGCCAGUUUACAGAAAAAAAAAAUGUUCAAUGAUUUCAGGAAGAUGCAGAAUGUGGGAAAGUCUAUGGGACAAAUGGUAUAAUUUCUUCAAUAAAUAAAAUUAAUAAAAGGGUUGGUGGUUUCUGAUUAAUACAAAAGUCAACAGACCUUACUAAUGGAUUGUACCAAAGUAGAAAGAAAAAGAAGAAUGAAAAGUUUUGGCUUAAGCAAUAACUUGGAUAAGGGUACCUUUACAAAGAUUAAAAAAAAGAAAGAAAAAAGAUUUUAAAUAGAAUUUUUGGCUAAUGAGUAUAACAGUCACUCACAAGUGGUAUACAUAAAACAUACCAGUGCAUAAAAUAUACUACAGCAGUGCUGUCCAACAGAACUUUCUGCAGUGACGAAAAUGUUCUCUAGAGUACUGUCCAAUACAGUAGCCACUGGUCACCUGUGGCUAUUAAGCAUUCAAAUAUAAGUACAACUAAAGCUACUGAAAUGUAGUUAGUAAAACUGAGGAACUGAUGUUUUAAUUUUACUUCACUGUAAUUAAAGUUAAAAAGCCACAUGUGGCUAGCAGUUACCAUACUAGACAGUGCAGAUCUAUAUAUUCUUCAUAUUUCUUCAACAACAAUGUUUGGGUUAGAGGAAUCAGACAUCAUUUUGUUGCCAGGGACCACUGACUCACAGAAGACUGAGUGACAGAAGGGUCCACAAGUUUAUAAAAACAUUUAUUCUUUUUUGAGAGUACAACAGAAAUUGUUUUGCUUUUCUGUUUUUAAAGGCUCUAUUCAUUAAAUAAAAUGAUACUCAGCUUUAUAUUAUUUUAAAAAGAGAGGCAAGCUGGGUGCCGUGGCUCACACCUGUAAUCCCAGCGCUUUGGGAGGCUGAGGUGGGUGAUCCCUUGAGGUCAGGAGUUUGAGACCAGCCUGACCAACAUAGUGAAACCCCAUCUCUACUGAAAAAAAAAUACAAAAAUUAGCCGUGUAUGGUGGUGCGCACCUGUAGUCCCAGCUACUCGAGAGGCUGAGGCAGGAGAAUCACUUGAACCCGGGAGGCAGAGGUUGCAGUGAGCCAAAAUCACACCACUGCACUCCAGCCUGGGUGACAAAGCAAGACUCCGUCUCAAAAAUAAUUAACAAAUAAAUAAAUAUAUAAAUAAGAGAGACAAAAAGAAAGCCUCAGCAACAGGGAAAAUAACCCAAUGACACAGCCACAGCCACACACACACACACACACACACACACACACACACACGCAGAAGCAAACUGAGAAAAAACACACAGCAAGAUACAAAUGACAUAAGCAGGCAGAGUGGAAGAUGCAAACAGAAGUAGAACUGGUGUGACUGGAGAUUCAUGAAAGAUUUGAUCACGAGUACUCACAUCAUAACUCUACUGAACAAAACUUGAGGCAUUUGGGGUUUAUCCUAAGUGAGAUGGGGGAUCAUUGCAAGGUUUCAAGCAAAGCAAUUUCACACGGUCACUUAACAAAAAAUGACUGCAUGAUGUGUGAAGAAUGCCGUGUAGGGGAGCAAGAGCAGAAGCAGGGAACAAGUUAGAAGGUUACCAGAGUAAUUCAGAGAGACAGCACUGGCUUGGACAAGAGUGUCACAGUGAAGAUGAGAAGUAAGUGGAUUUGGGAACACAGUCAACAUACCUUACUAAUGGAUUGUACCAAAGUAGAAAGAAAAAGAAGAAUGAAAAGUUUUGGCUCAAGCAAUAACUUGGAUAAGGGUAACUUUACAAAGAUAAAAAUAAGCAGGUUGGGGAUGUGAAAAUCAAGAGUUUUGCCCAAGUUAAAUUUGGAGUACCUAGUCUACUAACUAGGUACCUCAUAUCUCCAUGCACAGACGUUAAACUGACAGAUAUACAAGUUUGGAGUUCUGGGGAUAGGUCAGGAUAAAAGAUAAAACUUACAGCUUUCAAAAACACAUGGAAAUAAGAAAAAUAAAACUUUUCUAAAAUUUAACCUUCCUAUCAACAAACAAUAAAUCAGAACAGAUUAACGUAGAGACCAAAUGACUUCUAGGGCAGCUAGACUUGGCUGUAGCCUGAAUGAAGGCAUGACUUUCAUCAAGAAUUACCUUAUGCCACAGGAAAGCUAUUCAAUCUUGGGAGGGACAGAAAAAAAUUCUGAAUUCUGGAGGCAUAUGUUAGCAGUACUGUCCAAGCACUUUCCAGAGCAGAGCCAAGGAUACGGCUCUGCUGGGCAGAUCCCCCUAGAUGCGCCCUGCUCAAUUACCUCCAAAUUCCAGGCUUUCCUAUGCAUUUUUCCCAUUCCCUCAUUCAUCCUUCAUUUGCCACCAUCUGGUCACCCUUCAGCUCUCAGAAGAGCUGUCACUGUUCUCAGGAAGCUAUCCUUGGGUUCCCAAAUCCCCUGUGCUUGCCUUAUCAUAGCUUGCCAUGCUAUGUUGGUAUCAUUGCC